CAGAUCAGAAGACGUCGGCCCACCCCUGCUACUCUGGUAGCUUCCAGUGACCAGUCUUCUCCGGAAAUAGACGAAGACCGUCUUCCUAACCAGUUAUACAAGGCAGCCCUGUUGAACUCUCCCAGGCAGAGGAGGAAGGGAGCAAGAUGCACACCCACCAUGAAAG